GCGUGCUCUCUGUGCUUCGAUUUGAUAUGCGAUUACCUGUUGACCUGUUGUAAAGAUAUGUAGUGUUACUUAUGCGCCGUACGGCCGAACCACUGACGACGUAACAGCCACUAACGCAGCUUCGUUCGACGCGCUAUAACGACUCCAGUAUUAGACACGACGCUCUGCUGAAGCUUUUCAGGUCGUUGGCUCUAAAGCAUUGAGUAGUUGCUGGAUAAAGAGUAUUGUUAGCUGUCAGCUGAGCUGCAUAUGGGAGGACCUGUCUUGCAGAGGGUUUGUGUGAGAGAGGAUGUCAGCCUCCAAUCCUGGCAUCGGCAUGAUGAUGAGGCCGAGCUUGGAUUCUCUCUCGUUCCAGGCUAGUAGAGACAAGGAUGCCACGGCGGGAGCGAGCAUCACGGGACGAGCUAGCGCGGCGUGGAGUGAGACUGAGCAGAGCAGUCGGCCAAGUAGCAUCCCCGCAUCGCAUCACGCGGCCGCAGCGGAUACGCCAGCCUCAUCGUGUCGCUGGUAGCAGGGCUCAUCGGGGAUCAGCAGCAGUAGUAACCGCAGCCGCAGCAGCAGCAGUACCACCACCAGCACCAGCAG